rnacentral:rRNA from 1 species
UACGGAGGGUGCAAGCGUUAUCCGGAUUCACUGGGUUUAAAGGGCGCGUAGGCUGUGCUGUAAGUCAGGCGUGAAAGCCCCGGGCUCAACCUGGGAAUUGCGCUUGAUACUGCGGCGCUGGAAGGUGGGAGAGGAUGGCGGAAUUCCCAGUGUAGAGGUGAAAUUCGUAGAUAUUGGGAAGAACACCGGUGGCGAAGGCGGCCAUCUGGCCCACAUUUGACGCUGAGGCGCGAAAGCGUGGGGAGCAAACAGG